rnacentral:rRNA from 1 species
UACGGAAGGCAGCAGUGGGGAAUAUUGCACAAAUGGGCGAAAGCCUGAUGCAGCUAUGCCGCGUGUAUGAAGAAGGCCUUAGGGUUGUUAAAGUACUUUCAUCGGGGAGGAAAAAACAAAACUAAUAAUUUUAUUUCUUGACGUUACCCGAAAAAGAAGCACCGGCUAACUCCGUGCCAGCAGCCGCGGUAAUACGGAGGGUGCUAGCGUUAAUCAGAAUUACUGGGCGUAAAGAGCACGUAGGUGGUUUUUUUUAAAGUCAGAUGUGAAAUUCCCUGGGCUUAACCUUAGGAACUGCAUUUUGAAACUGAAAUACUAGAGUAUCGUAGAGGGAGGUAGAAUUCUAGGUGUAGCGGUGAAAUGCGUAGAUAUCUGGAGGAAUACCUGUGGCGAAAGCGGCCUCCUAAACGAAUACUGACACUGAGGGUGCGAAAGCGUGGGGAGCAAACCAGGGAUUAGAUACCC